UUACCGGAAUAGGCAAUCAAAGAUUCGUAAAAGACGAACUCGUAAUUAAUAACCUUGAAGUCAUUGAGGAAUCUUGCGCUAGCAAUGAACUAUUAAUUAAGUAAGUGCUACAAAUCGACUAAAUUCCAAUUCGGUUGGCUAGCGAUUUAAUUAAGUAAUCAACCUAGCAUUGAAGCCGCUGAUGUCGCUAAUACUGAAUUCUGAUAAACUGAAUUGUUAAUGGGGCAACUGCUAAAGAGAUUAACUCCACGCCAAAUUAAUUUAUUGAAUAAUGAAUGGAAGUUGGUGCUGUAACGUUGAAACCGCUAAGGCGACUUGCACGGAUGAAAAA